GGUUGCGAUCAUACCAGCACUAAUGCACCGGAUCCCAUCAGAACUCCGCAGUUAAGCGUGCUUGGGCGAGAGUAGUACUAGGAUGGGUGACCCCAUGGGAAGUCCUCGUGUUGCAACCC
rnacentral:rRNA from 1 species